CCCCUAGAUGUUCUGGGCCGCACGCGCGCUACACUGAACAGUUCAACAAGUCUUAACCUUGGCCGAUAGGUCUGGGUAAUCUUUGAACGCUGUUCGUGAUUGGGAUAGACCUUUGCAAUUAUGGGUCUUCAACGAGGAAUUCCUAGUAAACGCAAGUCAUCAGCUUGCAUUGAUUACGUCCCUGCCCUCUGUACACACCGCCCGUCGCACCUACCGAUUGAAUGGUCCGGUGAAAUCUCGGGACGGCGGCUCGGUCGCUUGCGUCCGACUGCUGAAACUUGAUUAAACCAUAUCAUUUAGAGGAAGGUGAAGUCGUAACA
rnacentral:rRNA from 1 species